rnacentral:rRNA from 1 species
UACGUAGGGGGCUAGCGUUGUCCGGAAUCAUUGGGCGUAAAGCGCGUGUAGGCGGUCCGGUAAGUCCGCUGUGAAAGUCGGGGGCUCAACCCUCGGAUGCCGGUGGAUACUGUCGGGCUUGAGUACGGAAGAGGCGAGUGGAAUUCCUCGUGUAGCGGUGAAAUGCGCAGAUAUCAGGAGGAACACCAAUUGCGAAGGCAGCUCGCUGGGACGUUACUGACGCUGAGACGCGAAAGCGUGGGGAGCAAACAGG